UACGUAGGCAGCGAGCGUUGUUCGGAGUUACUGGGCGUAAAGAGUGCGUAGGCGGUUUUCUAAGUUUGGUGUGAAAUCUCCCGGCUUAACUGGGAGGGUGCGCCGAAGACUGGAAGGCUUGAGUAUGGGAGAGGUAAGCGGAAUUCCUGGUGUAGCGGUGAAAUGCGUAGAUAUCGGAAGGAACACCAGUGGCGAAGGCGGCUUCCUGGACUAAUACUGACGCUGAGGUGCGAAAGCGUGGGGAGCAAACAGG
rnacentral:rRNA from 1 species